GUGGAGUUCGGGCAGGGGGUGGGAGGGUUUGGCAAGAUGGAGGGCAGUCAGGGGUUGGGGUGCAGCAAAAGGUUGGGAUCGGAGCUCACUGGGUCUUGGCGCAGCUGGACCGCUAUUCACAGUCAUCAAUGUCUCAUUUUAAGAUAGACUUCUUUUGCCAAAUAUUGAAGAACCCAUGACAUCAAGAGCCACGACAUCAAUAGCUAAUGGAAGUCCUUUAACAUUACUGAUUACCUCAUUUGAAAACUCCUUAAGUCAUUUGGUGGAGAAUCAUUCUUAAAUGCAUGCACAGACUGAAGUGUUAAAAAGAUUCAAUAGUCCAAUUCUGGAUGAUAACUGUGACAUGCUUUGACCGGUAAAUGUUCAUCCCUUGACAAUGAUUCUACUUCUCUCAAUCCUAAUGCUCCAAAAGAUGGCAUGAUUAAGAAAGAUUUCUACCUGAGAAAGUAUGGACCUUCGUUUCAGGUGUUCAGGGAAUUGCUUAUAGUAAAACACGAUCUGUCCAAUUAUAUUGAAUGUAUGGCAGAAGCCCAAUAGGAUAAGCUGAGGUGCGAGCCAGGAAGGCGAUAUUGGGCUUGCUCCAGGACCAAAGCCCUCAUCUUCUUCAAGGGCUGCGUACAAGGGGCGGGAGAAGAAGGGCAUUCUGAUAUUUGUUGAUACUUUUUUUUUUAACCUAGAUUAUGUUAGAACUUAUCAUGAUGCUGGUGGUCCUUCAACAGUAUCAUAAGCUGUACACUGAAACAUAUCAAUUUAAAACCAUACUUUGUUCAUCCAUUCCUUAAAA